rnacentral:tRNA from 1 species
GCGAAGCUAGUGGAACGGCGCACAGAGCGGGUGAACUGAUGAAUUCUGUCCUCGCAGAUUCCAUAAACCAAAUGCAAACCACUGAUAGCAUUACCGCGAGCGCUUGCCUCCGGAGCAAGAGGUCACAAGUUCGAAUCUUGUCGGGCGUACCA